rnacentral:lncRNA from 1 species
AGAAGCCGUCACCGAGAAGAGCCACACAAGAUAAUCCCAACUUUGGCGGGAUCAAAAAUGAGGCCACAAACCUCACAAGUUUUUCAACAGAACCGUAUUUGGCUACAGCUAGCUAUACAUAAGUCGCCUGAUUUUUAAAUUUGGGUAAGUCCUUUAUUUUUCUUGUGCUGUUGUAUGACUUUUUUUUUUGCGGGUGGCUGUUGUAUGACUUCUUAGGUUGAUUUUUGACUUCCCCCUGUUUAGGCAAGUCGAUUUUUCCUUAGGCUGGAUUUUUUACUUCGUUUUUUCUUAGGCUGCAUAUUGCAUUUUUUUUGUUUCUAGUGUUUUUGCCUUUUCUUUUAUUUAUAUUUUAGUCGGUUUUCUUUUCAUGGGUAUUUUUGGUAUAAGUUUUUUUUAUAACAUAGUACAAUCGCAGAUGCCCGUAUACACACACAUACACUCACUGUAAGAAGGCACGCAGGCACACUUGAUCGCCGGUAUGUUUGAAAUAAAUUAAGAAAAAUGCGAGCACCGGUGCCAAGUCUAGGAUUUGAACCUUGGUGGGAUGGUUCCACCACAAGGGUUCACAACAUAGGUAUUUUUGGCAUCACUUUAGUUGUAUGUAAGUCGCCUAAAAAUUGAUUUUCAGCCAAUCAAUUUUUUUGGCCCUUGAUUUUUGCUUAGAGUUUCGUGUUCUUUUCUGUUAUGUUCCGUGAGUUGUUUUGAGCUGGGGUUUUUCAACUCACCAUAUAUUUGGCUUAGUCAAUUCCUUAAUGGGUUGAAGCCAUUACCUAUGCGAUCCAGCCCUCCCCUCUCUACCUUUGUUCUUUGUGUUUUACUGUUUUUAUUUGUUUUGCUUUUGCUUUUUGUUUUUCAUUAUUAGUCAUUUUUUGUGGGUUUUUCGAGAUGUUGGGUGAUUGUAAAUGUAUAUACACAUAUAAUAUAAUAUAAAAUAUAUGCAAAAGUUGCACUAUUAUGUGAGUAUUCCAUGCAUAUUGUGAAAAUGUGCAAUUUCGGUGUAAAGUUGUGUGCAAGCUUUUUUAUAAUUUAUUUUAUUAUUUUGUUUUUUCUUAAAGGGUAACAAUAAUGCCACUGAUUCAUUGUUUCUUAUAAAACUUCAUUAUUUUGAUUUUGUUUUAGUAUUAUUUUAUUUCCUUUUUAAGGGUAACACUAAUGCCUCUAAUUCAUUCCUUCUUAGGAAAUUUGUUCUGCGUAAAUUUCACUAUUAUAUGUUUAGUCUUACAUAUUUGGAAAAAGCACAAUUUUUUGUAUACACGGCGUGAAUUGUGCCACUAUUUGCUUUAGUUUUUUUCUUUCUUCUUAAAGGGUAAUACCAGUGUCAUUAAUUCAUUCUUCGUUAGAAAAUCUCAUUAUUUUUGUUUUAAUUUAGCUUUAAUUUUAAUUUUUCUUCUUCUUAAAGGGUAAUACCAAAGCCACUAAUUCAUUCAUUCUUUCUUAGAGAACUUCAUUGUUUUGAUUUUGUUAAGUUUAUAUUUCAUUUUAUUUCUUCUUCAAUACCAAUACCACUAAUUCAUUUUUCCUAGGAAAUCUCUUUUCCUGAAAUUUCACUAUUAUAUUCUUAUUCUUUCAUAUUAUAAAAAGCACAAUUUUUUUAGUAAAAUUGUGUGCAAAUCUUGUCAAUAUUUGUUGUCAUUUUAUUUAUUUUCAAAGGGUAGUACCAAACAUCACUAAUUAUUUCUUUCUUAGAAAACUUUAUUAUUCUAUUUUUGUUUUAGUUUUUAUUUUAGUUUCUUUCUUCUUCAAGCGUAAUACCAAAGCCACUAGUUCAUUAUUUCUUAGAAACACUUUAUUAUUUUGGAUUUAGUUUUAAUAUUAGUUCAUUUUCUUUCUUCUUUAAAGGUAAUACUAAUGCCACUGAUGCGGCUUGAACUACGCCAAUAUUUCCCCAAAGAGGAAGGGAUGAUGCAGCACAACAUUUCCCUCAGUGAUGAGACCAAGG